UGAGUCACUGGCAAACAUUGAGAGGCGC
rnacentral:piRNA from 1 species